rnacentral:rRNA from 1 species
GAGUUUGAUCCUGGCUCAGGAUUAACGCUGGCGGCGUGCAUGAGACAUGCAAGUCGAACGGACGAGCUUGGCUUGCCUUGCUCGUUAGUGGCGGACGGCUGAGUAACGCGUGGGUGACCUGCCCCGAAGUGGGGAAUAACUGCCCGAAAGGGUGGCUAAUACCGCAUGCGGAGAUGGGUUCAAUCCCAUCUCCAAAGCCGCAAGGCGCUUCGGGAGGGGCCUGCGUCCGAUUAGCUCGUUGGUGGGGUAAUGGCUCACCAAGGCGACGAUCGGUAGGUGGUCUGAGAGGACGAUCACCCAGACUGGGACUGAGACACGGCCCAGACUCCUACGGGAGGCAGCAGUCGGGAAUUUUGCUCAAUGGGCGAAAGCCUGAAGCAGCAACGCCGCGUGAGGGAUGAAGGCCUUCGGGUUGUAAACCUCUUUUCUCAGGGACGAUGAUGACGGUACCUGAGGAAUAAGCCACGGCUAACUACGUGCCAGCAGCCGCGGUAAUACGUAGGUGGCAAGCGUUGUCCGGAUUUACUGGGCGUAAAGAGCGCGCAGGCGGUCGGAUCAGUCGAAUGUGAAAGCCCCCGGCUCAACUGGGGAGGGUCAUUCGAUACUGUUCGACUCGAAGACAGGAGAGGGAAGCGGAAUUCCCGGUGUAGUGGUGAAAUGCGUAGAUAUCGGGAGGAACACCAGUGGCGAAGGCGGCUUUCUGGCCUGUUCUUGACGCUGAGGCGCGAAAGCUAGGGGAGCAAACGGGAUUAGAUACCCCGGUAGUCCUAGCCGUAAACGAUGGACACUAGGUGUUGGCGGUAUCAACCCCGCCAGUGCCGUAGCUAACGCAUUAAGUGUCCCGCCUGGGGAGUACGGCCGCAAGGCUAAAACUCAAAGGAAUUGACGG